UACGAAGGGGGCUAGCGUUGUUCGGAAUUACUGGGCGUAAAGCGCGCGCAGGCGGCUAUCCAAGUCAGUGGUGAAAGCCCGGAGCUCAACUCCGGAACUGCCAUUGAAACUGUUUAGCUUGAGUAUGAGAGAGGUGAGUGGAAUUCCCAGUGUAGAGGUGAAAUUCGUAGAUAUUGGGAAGAACACCGGUGGCGAAGGCGGCUCACUGGCUCAUUACCGACGCUCAGGCGCGACAGCGUGGGGAUCAAACAGG
rnacentral:rRNA from 1 species